ensembl:lncRNA
CUCCGCCCCCCUCCCACACAGCCAUUCACCACACACUUGUGCCCGCAUGAAGUGACUCGUCUGCAGGGACAAAGCGGUGCAGGUGCUCCAUCACCGUGGGACCGUGUAUUGCAGAUUCCACGUCGCUGCUGUCACAGUAAUGGAGACUAUUGUGUGUCUAAUGUCAGUCCCCGCGUCCCGAAGACACAUAUUCAUUGAAACCACGCGGAGGAGGUUUACAGGUGGCCAGUUUCUGUGAGUCUGAACCUCUGCUGGAGGUUUGACUGAUUUCAAUACUCUGCUCACUUUAUUUCAUUAGGUUUUCCCCAUUUUCCAUCCACG